rnacentral:rRNA from 4 species
GGUUAAGCGACUAAGCGUACACGGUGGAUGCCCUGGCAGUCAGAGGCGAUGAAGGGCGUGCUAAUCUGCGAUAAGCGCCGGUAAGGUGAUAUGAACCGUUAUAACCGGCGAUACCCGAAUGGGGAAACCCAGUGUGAUUCGUCACACUAUCAUUAACUGAAUCCAUAGGUUAAUGAGGCGAACCGGGGGAACUGAAACAUCUAAGUACCCCGAGGAAAAGAAAUCAACCGAGAUUCCCCCAGUAGCGGCGAGCGAACGGGGAGGAGCCCAGAGCCUGAAUCAGCAUGUGUGUUAGUGGAAGCGUCUGGAAAGGCGCGCGAUACAGGGUGACAGCCCCGUACACAAAAGCGCAUGUGCUGUGAGCUCGAUGAGUAGGGCGGGACACGUGGUAUCCUGUCUGAAUAUGGGGGGACCAUCCUCCAAGGCUAAAUACUCCUGACUGACCGAUAGUGAACCAGUACCGUGAGGGAAAGGCGAAAAGAACCCCGGCGAGGGGAGUGAAAAAGAACCUGAAACCGUGUACGUACAAGCAGUGGGAGCACAGGUUUACCUGUGUGACUGCGUACCUUUUGUAUAAUGGGUCAGCGACUUAUAUUCUGUAGCAAGGUUAACCGUAUAGGGGAGCCGUAGGGAAACCGAGUCUUAACCGGGCGUUAAGUUGCAGGGUAUAGACCCGAAACCCGGUGAUCUAGCCAUGGGCAGGUUGAAGGUUGGGUAACACUAACUGGAGGACCGAACCGACUAAUGUUGAAAAAUUAGCGGAUGACCUGUGGCUGGGGGUGAAAGGCCAAUCAAACCGGGAGAUAGCUGGUUCUCCCCGAAAGCUAUUUAGGUAGCGCCUCGUGAAUUCAUCUCCGGGGGUAGAGCACUGUUUCGGCUAGGGGGCCAUCCCGGCUUACCAACCCGAUGCAAACUGCGAAUACCGGAGAAUGUUAUCACGGGAGACACACGGCGGGUGCUAACGUCCGUCGUGAAGAGGGAAACAACCCAGACCGCCAGCUAAGGUCCCAAAGUCAUGGUUAAGUGGGAAACGAUGUGGGAAGGCCCAGACAGCCAGGAUGUUGGCUUAGAAGCAGCCAUCAUUUAAAGAAAGCGUAAUAGCUCACUGGUCGAGUCGGCCUGCGCGGAAGAUGUAACGGGGCUAAACCAUGCACCGAAGCUGCGGCAGCGAACGUAUCACCCAAGACAACUUUACGGAGUUGACGAUUGACGGAGCGAAGCGACGUCAAAGCGUUCAUUAAAGUCGAGUUGGCUUAGGGAUACGUUCGUUGGGUAGGGGAGCGUUCUGUAAGCCUGUGAAGGUGUGUCGUGAGGCAUGCUGGAGGUAUCAGAAGUGCGAAUGCUGACAUAAGUAACGAUAAAGCGGGUGAAAAGCCCGCUCGCCGGAAGACCAAGGGUUCCUGUCCAACGUUAAUCGGGGCAGGGUGAGUCGACCCCUAAGGCGAGGCCGAAAGGCGUAGUCGAUGGGAAACGGGUUAAUAUUCCCGUACUUGGUGUUACUGCGAAGGGGGGACGGAGAAGGCUAUGUUGGCCGGGCGACGGUUGUCCCGGUUUAAGCGUGUAGGUGUGUGUUCCAGGUAAAUCCGGUUCACUUUAACACUGAGGCGUGACGACGAGGCACUACGGUGCUGAAGCAACAAAUGCCCUGCUUCCAGGAAAAGCCUCUAAGCAUCAGGUAACACGAAAUCGUACCCCAAACCGACACAGGUGGUCAGGUAGAGAAUACCAAGGCGCUUGAGAGAACUCGGGUGAAGGAACUAGGCAAAAUGGUGCCGUAACUUCGGGAGAAGGCACGCUGACACGUAGGUGAAGUGAUUUACUCAUGGAGCUGAAGUCAGUCGAAGAUACCAGCUGGCUGCAACUGUUUAUUAAAAACACAGCACUGUGCAAACACGAAAGUGGACGUAUACGGUGUGACGCCUGCCCGGUGCCGGAAGGUUAAUUGAUGGGGUCAGCGCAAGCGAAGCUCCUGAUCGAAGCCCCGGUAAACGGCGGCCGUAACUAUAACGGUCCUAAGGUAGCGAAAUUCCUUGUCGGGUAAGUUCCGACCUGCACGAAUGGCGUAAUGAUGGCCAGGCUGUCUCCACCCGAGACUCAGUGAAAUUGAACUCGCUGUGAAGAUGCAGUGUACCCGCGGCAAGACGGAAAGACCCCGUGAACCUUUACUAUAGCUUGACACUGAACAUUGAGCCUUGAUGUGUAGGAUAGGUGGGAGGCUUUGAAGUGUGGACGCCAGUCUGCAUGGAGCCGACCUUGAAAUACCACCCUUUAAUGUUUGAUGUUCUAACGUGGACCCGUAAUCCGGGUUGCGGACAGUGUCUGGUGGGUAGUUUGACUGGGGCGGUCUCCUCCUAAAGAGUAACGGAGGAGCACGAAGGUUGGCUAAUCCUGGUCGGACAUCAGGAGGUUAGUGCAAUGGCAUAAGCCAGCUUGACUGCGAGCGUGACGGCGCGAGCAGGUGCGAAAGCAGGUCAUAGUGAUCCGGUGGUUCUGAAUGGAAGGGCCAUCGCUCAACGGAUAAAAGGUACUCCGGGGAUAACAGGCUGAUACCGCCCAAGAGUUCAUAUCGACGGCGGUGUUUGGCACCUCGAUGUCGGCUCAUCACAUCCUGGGGCUGAAGUAGGUCCCAAGGGUAUGGCUGUUCGCCAUUUAAAGUGGUACGCGAGCUGGGUUUAGAACGUCGUGAGACAGUUCGGUCCCUAUCUGCCGUGGGCGCUGGAGAACUGAGGGGGGCUGCUCCUAGUACGAGAGGACCGGAGUGGACGCAUCACUGGUGUUCGGGUUGUCAUGCCAAUGGCACUGCCCGGUAGCUAAAUGCGGAAGAGAUAAGUGCUGAAAGCAUCUAAGCACGAAACUUGCCCCGAGAUGAGUUCUCCCUGAGACUUAGAGUCUCCUGAAGGAACGUUGAAGACGACGACGUUGAUAGGCCGGGUGUGUAAGCGCAGCGAUGCGUUGAGCUAACCGGUACUAAUGAACCGUGAGGCUUAACCUU